AUUUACUAAGCUAUUACGCCAAAGAAUUUAUAAAACAACACCCAUGUAUAUUGCAACCCCAUUUUCUCCCUGUGCAUAAAGCGACUGCUAUGUCAACUGCACAUGCCAUUGCACUGAGCUCAUUCGGGGCGUGUGUUUGUCAACCGAGUUCCAACAAUCGCCAAAGUCGAACGAUCGAUCGAUCAGACCCCAGAACCAAGACCUCAGAGGGGUCCAAAGAACUGCUGGGGUGCCGGAACCGAGACCCAUAGAGCCGAGACUACGAUAAACGCUUCAACCGCAUGUGCAGGCCCAUUGAAAUGCUGAACGAAUCAGAAACGGAAUCAGAAAUUGAAAUAUCCAUAUGGAUUUCAGCGCGGAAUGCGAGUGCGCAUUGAGCAGAUCAAUAAACAUGACAGCGUAAACGAUCGUUAAGCCGAGCAGUGAGGAAUGCGAAACAAAUUGGAUCUAGAGAGAUCUCAGAGAUCAGGGAGAAAAGCCCAACUAUCUAUUCUUAUUACUGAGAGAGCGAAAGCGCCUAAGAAGUCCCUUUCAACCCACACACUCCACUCCAUCGAGCGAUUCUUCAGCAUUCUUCAACUCUCUUCUGUGAGAAGACGAAGUGGCGAUCUUUUGAGUCCGAGUUAAGUGCUCGAGCACCGAGAGGCUCUCAAACUGGAUUCGCAUUUUAUUGAAAGUGUUUCGAGCGCUCUCAGCUCGCCAACUAAUGAAUGACGAUCGGAUCGGAUCGGCGAGCGGUAACUUUUGACGUGGAAUAUUUUGCUCAUGAGCUGGCCCCUGGCGAGACCGAGACCGGAAUGGACUCAACUGAAAAACCGGAGCGGGUUCUACGUGAGUCUGGGCCUUUUAAUUACCGAUAGAACGGCAAACUGGCGUCAAUGGGGCGGCCAGAAAUAGUUCAGUUCGAAUCGGUUUGGUGGCAUUUUCACACGCUGGCCAACGCGGCGGAUGCGCGUCAUUGAGAACGGGGCCCACAAGUGUCAUUUGAAAAAGGGGUGUGACAGUGUCGUCACGCAAAUGGGCUUAGCCUCAGCCGAUCUCUGACUAAAGGGGGAAAAAGUCCCCGAAAUUGCCCGUUUUGGGAACGAUCGUUGGAACUUUCCUAAUGAUACUCUUUAUCUUUACAUCAAUUUGUUUAUUUUUUAGUUAUAUCAACUUUUAAACAUUAUUAAAAAUAUGGUUUCCUUUUUGUAUCAACACAAACAAUUAUAAAA